UUAGCAAAAUCACUGCACCUCCUUUUGGACGAAUUUUAUUUCCGAGAAAUAGAUUGCAGUGUUCUCUCCAGACGCGUGGUUCCGUGCGUGAGUGUGUGUGUGUGUUCGAUGAAAACGUGUUGGAACAAGUAAGAGACAAAAUGGACGAGAUUGAACCUAGUGGUCUUCGGCUUUUUUUUUUCUGGAGAAGAAUGUGUGCUGGUGGUGCUUUGGUGAAAUUUGAGAAAGUAUUUAUGGACCAGUGAAAAAUAUAACUAGACAGCUUUUCCAGACGAUCAGGCAGCUUUGGUCGAUUACAUAUGAAAUAUUUAAAACCCGAUCUUCAUCUGCUUGAGAAAUCAACGAAACGAAUGCCUGAAUAUUGCGGACGAAGUACUUACAGCAAACAGUCCGUGAAGCACAACACAACAUUCCACAACCGUAAGCCACAAAAAUUUCCCCAGCUUAGCAAUGCCGUCUGGACCCAGAAUGGUAAUAGAUGGUUUCAAGUUAUAAAUAACAUUCAACAUAGAUGUGAGAGGUGUCGUUGGCCAAACAGCUUAAGCUGAGAACAAUCAACAGGACAUUGUCGAGUAAGUUGUUAAGAUGCAUUGGAAUGAUGACGGAUUGAGUUGCUAAUGUGCUCAUGAACUAAUCGGCGAAGGGAUCGCAAGAUUCUGAAGUGGUAGAGGCAGUGG